UGGCUGAUGGUGCGGUGACCCCUGUGCAGUCUGAGUUCUGAGAACCAGGCGAUGGGGUAUGUUCUGAGAACGGAGGAAAAAAG
ensembl:snoRNA